AGAAUCAACGCUGGCGGCGUGCCUAACACAUGCAAGUCGAACGAGAAAGUGGAGCAAUCCAUGAGUACAGUGGCGACCGGGUGAGUAACACGUGACUAACCUACCCUCGAGUGGGGAAUAACUCCGGGAAACCGGAGCUAAUACCGCAUAACAUCGCAAGAUCAAAGCGGCAAUGCGCUUGAGGAGGGGGUCGCGGCUGAUUAGCUAGUUGGUAGGGUAAUGGCCUACCAAGGCUGAGAUCGGUAUCCGGCCUGAGAGGGCGCACGGACACACUGGAACUGAAACACGGUCCAGACUCCUACGGGAGGCAGCAGUGGGGAAUUUUGCGCAAUGGGGGAAACCCUGACGCAGCAACGCCGCGUGGAGGAUGAAGUCCCUUGGGAUGUAAACUCCUUUCGACCGGGACGAUACUGACGGUACCGGAAGAAGAAGCACCGGCUAACUCUGUGCCAGCAGCCGCGGUAAUACAGAGGGUGCGAGCGUUGUUCGGAAUUAUUGGGCGUAAAGGGCGCGUAGGCGGUGCGGUAAGUCACCUGUGAAAUCUCCUGGCUCAACUGGGAGCUUGCAGGCGAAACUGCCGUGCUGGAGUGUGGGAGAGGUGCGUGGAAUUCCCGGUGUAGCGGU
rnacentral:rRNA from 1 species